rnacentral:piRNA from 1 species
UGGUGAAUAAAGGAAGUCCGUU